rnacentral:rRNA from 1 species
GUCCGCAACGAGCGCAACCCUUGCCUUUAGUUGCCAACAGGUAAAGCUGGGAACUCUAGAGGGACUGCCCGGGUAACCGGGAGGAAGGCGGGGACGACGUCAAGUCCUCAUGGCCCUUAUGUCCAGGGCUACACACGUGCUACAAUGGGCGGUACAAAGCGACGCGAAGCCGCGAGGUGAAGCCAAUCGCUUAAAGCCGUUCUCAGUUCGGAUCGCAGUCUGCAACUCGACUGCGUGAAGUUGGAAUCGCUAGUAAUCGGAGAUCAGCACGCUUCGGUGAAUACGUUCCCGGGCCUUGUACACACCGCCCGUCACAUCAC